rnacentral:rRNA from 1 species
UCCGUAGGCGGACUAAUAAGUCAGGGGUGAAAUCCCACAGCUCAACUGUGGAACUGCCUUUGAUACUGUUAGUCUUGAGUUAUAUGGAAGUAGAUAGAAUGUGUAGUGUAGCGGUGAAAUGCUUAGAGAUUACACAGAAUACCGAUUGCGAAGGCAGUCUACUACGUAUAUACUGACGCUAAUGGACGAAAGCGUGGGGAGCGAACAGGAUUAGAUACCCUGGUAGUC